AGAGUUUGAUCAUGGCUCAGAACGAACGCUGGCGGCGUGCUUAACACAUGCAAGUCGAGUGCGCGGUUGUAGCAAUACAUCUGGCGCACGGCGCACGGGUGCGUAACACGUGGGCAAUCUGCCCUUCGAUGGGGAAUAACUCCGGGAAACCGAAGCUAAUUCCGCAUAACAUUCCUUGGACUUCGGUUCGAGGAUUCAAAGCCGUAAGGCGUCGAAGGAGGAGCCCGCGCACGAUUAGCUAGUUGGUAGGGUAACGGCCUACCAAGGCUUUGAUCGUUAGCUGGUCUGAGAGGAUGGCCAGCCACACUGGAACUGAGACACGGUCCAGACUCCUACGGGAGGCAGCAGUGGGGAAUCUUGCACAAUGGGCGAAAGCCUGAUGCAGCGACGCCGCGUGGGGGAUGAAGCAUCUCGGUGUGUAAACCCCUUUCGACCCGGACGAAUGCCUCGCAAGAGGAGUGACGGUACGGGUAUAAGAAGCCCCGGCUAACUACGUGCCAGCAGCCGCGGUAAGACGUAGGGGGCCAGCGUUGUUCGGAAUUACUGGGUGUAAAGGGUUCGUAGGCGGUGUGGCAAGUUGGGAGUGAAAUCUCUGGGCUCAACCCAGAGGCUGCUUCCAAAACUGCCAUGCUUGAGUGUGGGAGAGGCGCGUGGAAUUGCAGGUGUAGCGGUGAAAUGCGUAGAUAUCUGCAGGAACACCCGUGGCGAAAGCGGCGCGCUGGACCACAACUGACGCUGAGGAACGAAAGCUAGGGGAGCAAACAGGAUUAGAUACCCUGGUAGUCCUAGCCCUAAACGAUCAGGACUUGGGGUGCCGCACGUUCGUGCGUCGUCCCGGAGCUAACGCGUUAAGUCCUGCACCUGGGGAGUACGGUCGCAAGACUGAAACUCAAGGAAUUGACGGGGGCCCGCACAAGCGGUGGAACAUGUG
rnacentral:rRNA from 1 species